CCGUGGGAACAGUAGUUGCCUCGUACUUGGACGGGCGGUACAGAAUUUUUCCGGUCAGCUCAUUCACUGCAGGAACUGCGUGGCUAUCUCAUGGGUCGGUGUUGUCCAUGGCGACGGCGGCGGCACCGGCGACAGUGGCGGUCAACGGCGCAGUGGAGGCCGGCGCUGUGGUGGACUUCCCGGUGGAUCCGGUGGUCAGAUGUGAUACGCGCCUCGCCGCCGGAUCUCGAUGGAGGGGGCGAGGUGGGUAGCAGACGGGACGAGGUGCCACCGGAGUCUUCUGUGGCGGCGCUCGUUCAGGGCUGUCAAGAUGGUGGGGCGAUGCGGUAGACGAACAGAAUGUGCCUGCGGAAUUGGGUGAAUCGACUGUGAUGCCGGAUCCAUGAGCGCCACGGCGAAUUAAGAGGUAUUGAAUCCUGCUUGUUGUGUGCUAUUAUUUCUGUGUGGAUUACUCGUGCGUGCUGCUACUAAAAAGAAAACUGAAGAAUGGAAACAGAUGUGUAGAGCGUCGUAUCCGUUAUGAAACAGAGGGGAAAGGAAAACUAAGUUAGCUCAUAGAAUGUUUGUGCGCAGGGGUGGUGGGCUUGUCCAGUUAAAAAAAAUAGGGCAAAUGUUAGCUCCGCAUAAUCAAAGAGUACAUAAAUCUUGCCAGUGCUAAAAAUAGUUGCAUGUUGUUCUUUCACAUGCUGAGCCGAAUAAGUAACUGGCAAAACUUAAGUCGCAGAUUUUCCUUUGCUUUUUAGUUUUGGUUGAGACCUUGAACCUGACUGUUUGAUCAGGCGGUGAAUGGUUUGUAUUGGUUUCGUUUUCUAUAUGAAAAUGGAGCUGGGUACUCCCUUUGAUCAGAAAAAUAAUUGCGCAAAAUGACCACAGCUUGCAGUUCCAAGUGUUGGGAAAAUUGUUGAUUUUUCCUGCUCUGCCUCUGUUAUGAUUUUUAAGCUGAAUGCUUGUGACAUUCUUUUUGACAGUCUCACAAUUGUCAUGUAUUUUAAAAUCUGGACUUGUUUGUAGUUUUUGGGAUGCACAAUGGUGUUUUUUGUGCCGAAAAAAGGCGUGUUGUGUCUCUCAGGAAAUAGAAUGUUGGCUUUGUGCACACAAGCAGGGUCAGGAUGUGUACCAAUCCUACAGAGUGUGCACCAUGCACCAAUAGGAUGGGGGCUCUUGAGAAGUCAAUUAGAGGUUUUGCGGAGACGAGCAAUAAGGAAGUUGUGAAGCCAGAGUUGGGAACAAAUUUUGACUCGUUGACGGAGGUGUAUGACUUCUACAACCUAUAUUCCUGGGAACAUGGUUUUGAAAUCCGAUACGGGGAAAGCAGGCUGAACCCAGAGAAAAAGGAAGACCAUGCAGGAAAUUGUGUGUGCAGAUGCUCGGGGAAGCUAUUAUGAGAGAAUACAAGGUCUUGCCGGUGUGAGUGUCCCACGAUGAUUAGGCUGCUCCAGACCAUAGACAACGGAUGGUGCAUAACAGAGCAUCGAGGGAAGCAUAAUCGUGUAAUGGCAAGAAGUUGUGGAGAGAUGGCGCACUGGCCAUCUCACGAGCAUAUUGAUGGCACACUGGCGAGUAGAUGAAAUCUUCUCAGGCAAAUACUGUAAUAGCCACCAAUGGUUUGAUGACAUUGCUUAUUGCAAGACUUGACCAUCGAGAAGCUAUUGCUUGUUUGACUCUGCUGAAACUAAUAAAGGUUGUCUGUGAGCACCACCCUUGACCAAAGAAGCUCAUAGUGGACAACUACCUUCCCUAGAAGCUACAAAACCUCAUCGAAGAAUGCAGGGAUGGGCAACGCGGCGGUCAAGUGCUGGUCAAACAAAUGGUCACCUCACUGUUGAAAGCACUGCACUUCAAUAUAGUUUUGUGAUCUCCAGGCCACCAUGUGUUUUCGUCCCAAGCUGUACAUGUUCUCCAUAGAGCUGGCGAGAGGCGUCGGCUAGGGUGUCCUCGAUGGCAGCAUUGUUGCAAGGGGAGGAGGGAACUGCAGAGCAAGGUUUUCGAGUCAAUGAGUCGUUUUGGGGCAGCGUCUCCUGAAUAGUAGACCUUACAGUUGCGACUAGUCGCGACUCAUCGACGCGUUGUUGAGUCGAUUUUUUUUUGACUCAUCGACUCAAACAGUGCUGCAGAGGAUGCAAAUAGCAUGGACAGCGGACCGGCCAAGUCAGGAGAAUCUGCUGUUAAACGUGAUCCCUGAGUGUCAAGGUGGAUUAAGAGGUUAGCGUCAGAGUUUAUUCAUCAUUUGCUAAUUCCUGGUGGGCCGCCGCGACGAAAUAUUGUCGUAUAUUCACCGGAAGGGUGCAGAGUCUGAAUGUUUGAGCAAAGUAUGAAUGUAUAUAUGACAUGUUUCAAAUAAUCUUGAAAUGAAAAUGAAUCGAAUAUUUCUUCAGUGAUUU